CCUACGGGGGGCAGCAGUGGGGAAUCUUGGACAAUGGGCGAAAGCCUGAUCCAGCCAUGCCGCGUGAGUGAUGAAGGCCUUCGGGUUGUAAAACUCUUUUACCCGGGAAGCUGUACCGGGAGAAUAAGCUCCGGCUAACUUCGUGCCAGCAGCCGCGGUAAUACGAAGGGGGCUAGCGUUGUUCGGAAUUACUGGGCGUAAAGCGUGCGCAGGCGGCUUUUCAAGUCAGGGGUGAAAGCCCAGAGCUCAACUCUGGAACUGCCUUUGAAACUGUAAAGCUCGAGUGCGGGAGAGGUGAGUGGAAUUCCCAGUGUAGAGGUGAAAUUCGUAGAUAUUGGGAAGAACACCGGUGGCGAAGGCGGCUCACUGGCCCGUUCUGACGCUCAUGCACGACAGCGUGGGGAUCAAACAGGAUUAGAUACCCUAGUAGUC
rnacentral:rRNA from 1 species